CUCGCUUCCGCCUAACUGUACGCUGAUUGGUGGUCUUCAAAGACCAAACACGCCUCCCUCGGCGCUAAGGAUUGGCUGCGUCUUGGGUCCAAGGAUUGAAUUCAGAGCAUCAGGCCUCACGGCAAAUGCCUCUAGCCCCAGAGUCAUCGCAUCUGUCGACCUUGUUUGGACACAGGGUCUCUCGCUGAAACUGAAGCUUGCUGGGCUAGACUGGCCAGCCAGCAAGGCUCCUGGAUCCUAUUCUCUCUGCCCGCCCAGAACUGGGGAUACAGACCCUGAAGAAUCUGCUAGACAUUUGCAAAUCACGGCUUGUUAGGGGACACCUGUGAGGAGCAGCAGGG